GAUGAACGCUGGCGGCGUGCCUAAUACAUGCAAGUCGAGCGAACAGACGAGGAGCUUGCUCCUCUGACGUUAGCGGCGGACGGGUGAGUAACACGUGGAUAACCUACCUAUAAGACUGGGAUAACUUCGGGAAACCGGAGCUAAUACCGGAUAACAUGUUGAACCGCAUGGUUUAACAGUGAAAGACGGUCUUGCUGUCACUUAUAGAUGGAUCCGCGCCGCAUUAGCUAGUUGGUAAGGUAACGGCUUACCAAGGCAACGAUGCGUAGCCGACCUGAGAGGGUGAUCGGCCACACUGGAACUGAGACACGGUCCAGACUCCUACGAGAGGCAGCAGUAGGGCAUCUUCCGCAAUGGGCGAAAGCCUGACGGAGCAACGCCGCGUGAGUGAAGAAGGUCUUCGGAUCGUAAAACUCUGUUAUUAGGGAAGAACAAAUGUGUAAGUAACUAUGCACGUCUUGACGGUACCUAAUCAGAAAGCCACGGCUAACUACGUG
rnacentral:rRNA from 1 species